AGAGAGAGGGAAUCCUCUCGGCCGAAUAUCCAAGGUUUCCAGGGUAAAGCUGAUCUGCCCUGGGUAAGUCGGGGCCUAAGGAGAGGCAGAAAUGCGUAUCCGAUGGACAGCAGGUUGAGAUUCCUGCACUAUCUUAAAACAGAACUGUGGGGACAUUUGUGGAGAGCACAGGCGCGGAACGGAAAGCCGCGUGCAAGCGAAGGAGGAGUCACAUAGGAAAAACCGUGUGGCAAUCCAAAGGCGUAAUGCGGACCGAGCUAAGGUAGGGAAGUGUGUGAGCCAUGAAUCAAGAAAAGCCGCUAUUGUUUUUAAGAUACCCGUACCGUAAACCGACACAGGUGGAUGAGGAGAGAAUCCUAAGGCCGGCGGAAGAAGCAUUGUUAAGGAACUCGGCAAAAUGACCCCGUAACUUCGGGAGAAGGGGUGCCAACGAGAGUUGGCCGCAGAGAAUAGGCUCAAGCAACUGUUUAGCAAAAACACAGGUCUAUGCAAAACCGUAAGGUGAGGUAUAUGGGCUGACGCCUGCCCGGUGCUGGAAGGUUAAGAGGAGAGGUUAGCGCAAGCGAAGCUUUGAAUUUAAGCCCCAGUAAACGGCGGCCGUAACUAUAACGGUCCUAAGGUAGCGAAAUUCCUUGUCGGGUAAGUUCCGACCCGCACGAAAGGCGUAAUGAUUUGAGCGCUGUCUCGACAAUGCAUCCGGUGAAAUUGAAGUACCAGUGAAGAUGCUGGUUACCCGCGCCAGGACGGAAAGACCCCAUGGAGCUUUACUCCAGUUUGGUGCUGGGGUCCGGCAGUGCAUGUACAGGAUAGGUGGGAGGCUGAGAACCUGGAACGCCAGUUUCAGGGGAGCCAUUGUUGGGAUACCACCCUUGUGCUGCUGGGCUUCUAACCAGCGGCCUUUAUCAGGCCGGGGGACAAUGCCAGACGGGGAGUUUGACUGGGGCGGUCGCCUCCGAAAGGGUAUCGGAGGCGCUCAAAGGUUCCCUCAGAAUGGUCGGAAACCAUUCGAAGAGUGCAAAGGCAGAAGGGAGCUUGACUGCGACACCGACGGGUGGAGCAGGUACGAAAGUAGGACUUAGUGAUCCGGUGGUAUUAAGUGGGAAUGCCAUCGCUCAACGGAUAAAAGCUACCCUGGGAUAACAGGCUUAUCACUCCCAAGAGUUCACAUCGACGGAGUGGUUUGGCACCUCGAUGUCGGCUCAUCGCAUCCUGGGGCUGUAGUAGGUCCCAAGGGUUGGGCUGUUCGCCCAUUAAAGCGGUACGCGAGCUGGGUUCAGAACGUCGUGAGACAGUUCGGUCCCUAUCCGGCGUGGGCGUAGGAUAUUUGAGAGGAGCUGUCCUUAGUACGAGAGGACCGGGAUGGACUGACCUCUGGUGAACCGGUUGAACCGCCAGGUUCACGGCCGGGUAGCCAAGUCGGGAAGGGAUAAACGCUGAAGGCAUCUAAGCGUGAAGCCCCCCUCAAGAUGAGAUAUCCCAUUCGAAAGAAGUAAGACCCCUUGAAGACGACGAGGUAGAUAGGGCAGAGGUGGAAGUGCCGUAAGGCAUGGAGCUGACUGUUACUAAUCGGUCGAGGGCUU
rnacentral:rRNA from 1 species